UAAAAGUUUUAUCCUUGCUAAAUAAUCCUUUUAAUUUUAUUUUAUAUACUAGCUUUGCUUCUAAAAGUGUUAAUUUGUAGUAGUUUUUAUUGUUUUUCAAGUCAUUUUGGAUACAGUAAAUUUUUUAUUCCUGUCAAACUUCGUGCCAGCAGCCGCGGUUAAACGGUGGGGGAUAGGGAUUAUUUUUGGUUGGUAGUAAAUUUUUUCUUGCUACAAUUAGAAUAUUUUAGGUGAAAUUUAUAUUUCUAAUUAAUGUAUUUCUUUAUUCUAUGAAACCUGAGAUUAAAACGAGGAUUAGAUACCCUCUUAUAUUAGGUGUUAAUUUUGCCUGGGUAGUAUUAGUUAUGUUCUUGAAACCCAAAGGAUUUGGCGGUAUUUUAUUCCUUUCAGAGGAGCCUGUCCUAUGAUCGAUAUUACACGAUAUUUUCUACUUACCUUUGUUUUCAGUUUGUAUAUCUCCGUCAUCAGGGUGUCUUUUUAGAGUUAAUUCCCAUUUUUACUUUAUGUAAAUAUGUCAGGUCAAGGUGCAGCUUAUAGGUAAGCUGAGAUGGGCUACAAUAAAUUUAUUUAUACGGAUAUAGUUAUUUAAUUGUAUACUAUUUGAAGGUGGAUUUGAGAGUAAAUUUAUUAAUUAAAUUUUUUGAAUUUGUUUCUAAAAUAUGCACACAUCGCCCGUCGCUCUCACGAUAAGUGAGAUAAGUCGUAACAUAGUAGAUGUAUUGGAAAAUGUAUCUAGUAAGU
rnacentral:ncRNA from 1 species